UUUCCGGUUGAUCCUGCCGGACCUGACUGCUAUCGGAUUGAUACUAAGCCAUGCGAGUCUUUGUAGUAAUACAAGGCAGACGGCUCAGUAACACGUAGUCAACCUACCCUAUGGACGAGAAUAAUCUCGGGAAACUGAGCAUAAUUCUCGAUAGAUCAUAAUGCCUGGAAUGGUUUAUGGUUAAAAUGAUUCGUCGCCAUAGGUUGGGACUGCGGCCUAUCAGCUUGUUGGUGAGGUAAUGGCCCACCAAGGCGAUUACAGGUACGGGCUCUGAGAGGAGAAGCCCGGAGAUGGGUACUGAGACACGGACCCAGGCCCUAUGGGGCGCAGCAGGCGAGAAAACUUUGCAAUGUGCGAAAGCACGACAAGGUUAAUCCGAGUGAUUUCUGCUAAAGAAAUCUUUUGUCAGUCAUAAAACCACUGACGAAUAAGGGGUGGGCAAGUUCUGGUGUCAGCCGCCGCGGUAAAACCAGCACCUCAAGUGGUCAGGAUGAUUAUUGGGCCUAAAGCAUCCGUAGCCGGCUUUGUUAGUUUUCGGUUAAAUCCAUGUGCUCAACACAUGGGCUGCCGAAAAUACUGCAUGGCUAGGGAGUGGGAGAGGUAGACGGUACUCAGUAGGAAGGGGUAAAAUCCUUUGAUCUAUUGAUGACCACCUGUGGCGAAGGCGGUCUACCAGAACACGUUCGACGGUGAGGGAUGAAAGCUGGGGGAGCAAACCGGAUUAGAUACCCGGGUAGUCCCAGCUGUAAACGAUGCAGACUCGAUGAUGCAUUGGCAUAAUAGCCAGUGCAGUGUCGCAGGGAAGCCGUUAAGUCUGCCGCCUGGGAAGUACGUACGCAAGUAUGAAACUUAAAGGAAUUGGCGGGGGAGCACCACAAGGGGUGAAGCCUGCGGUUCAAUUGGAGUCAACGCCGGG
rnacentral:rRNA from 1 species